GCGGCGGACGGGUGAGUAACACGUGGGCAACCUACCUUGUAGAUUGGGAUAACUCCGGGAAACCGGGGCUAAUACCAAAUAAUCCAUUUUGCUUCAUGGCGAGAUGUUAAAAGGCGGCUUCGGCUGUCACUACGAGAUGGGCCCGCGGCGCAUUAGCUAGUUGGUAGGGUAAUGGCCUACCAAGGCGACGAUGCGUAGCCGACCUGAGAGGGUGAUCGGCCACACUGGGACUGAGACACGGCCCAGACUCCUACGGGAGGCAGCAGUAGGGAAUCUUCCACAAUGGACGAAAGUCUGAUGGAGCAACGCCGCGUGAGUGAAGAAGGUUUUCGGAUCGUAAAACUCUGUUGUAAGGGAAGAACACGUACGAGAGUAACUGCUCGUACCUUGACGGUACCUUAUUAGAAAGCCACGGCUAACUACGUGCCAGCAGCCGCGGUAAUACGUAGGUGGCAAGCGUUGUCCGGAAUUAUUGGGCGUAAAGCGCGCGCAGGCGGUCCUUUAAGUCUGAUGUGAAAGCCCACGGCUCAACCGUGGAGGGUCAUUGGAAACUGGGGGACUUGAGUACAGAAGAGGAAAGCGGAAUUCCAAGUGUAGCGGUGAAAU
rnacentral:rRNA from 1 species